rnacentral:tRNA from 1 species
AGCUUUAUAUUCAAAUUAUGAUAUUAAAUUGCAAAUUUAAAGUUAGAAAUAUCUUAAGGCUU